rnacentral:rRNA from 1 species
AGUGAACGCUGGCGGUAGGCCUAACACAUGCAAGUCGAACGGCAGCACAGUAAGAGCUUGCUCUUACGGGUGGCGAGUGGCGGACGGGUGAGGAAUACAUCGGAAUCUACUUUUUCGUGGGGGAUAACGUAGGGAAACUUACGCUAAUACCGCAUACGACCUACGGGUGAAAGCAGGGGAUCUUCGGACCUUGCGCGAUUGAAUGAGCCGAUGUCGGAUUAGCUAGUUGGCGGGGUAAAGACCCACCAAGGCGACGAUCCGUAGCUGGUCUGAGAGGAUGAUCAGCCACACUGGAACUGAGACACGGUCCGGACUCCUACGGGAGGCAGCAGUGGGGAAUAUUGGACAAUGGGCGCAAGCCUGAUCCAGCCAUACCGCGUGGGUGAAGAAGGCCUUCGGGUUGUAAAGCCCUUUUGUUGGGAAAGAAAAGCAGCAGGUUAAUACCCCGCUGUUCUGACGGUACCCAAAGAAUAAGCACCGGCUAACUUCGU